AGAGUUUGAUCCUGGCUCAGGAUGAACGCCGGCGGUGUGCCUAAUACAUGCAAGUCGUACGCACUGGCCCAACUGAUUGAUGGUGCUUGCACCUGAUUGACGAUGGAUCACCAGUGAGUGGCGGACGGGUGAGUAACACGUAGGUAACCUGCCCCGGAGCGGGGGAUAACAUUUGGAAACAGAUGCUAAUACCGCAUAACAACAAAAGCCGCAUGGCUUUUGUUUGAAAGAUGGCUUUGGCUAUCACUCUGGGAUGGACCUGCGGUGCAUUAGCUAGUUGGUAAGGUAACGGCUUACCAAGGCGAUGAUGCAUAGCCGAGUUGAGAGACUGAUCGGCCACAAUGGAACUGAGACACGGUCCAUACUCCUACGGGAGGCAGCAGUAGGGAAUCUUCCACAAUGGGCGCAAGCCUGAUGGAGCAACACCGCGUGAGUGAAGAAGGGUUUCGGCUCGUAAAGCUCUGUUGUUGGAGAAGAACGUGCGUGAGAGUAACUGUUCACGCAGUGACGGUAUCCAACCAGAAAGUCACGGCUAACUACGUGCCAGCAGCCGCGGUAAUACGUAGGUGGCAAGCGUUAUCCGGAUUUAUUGGGCGUAAAGCGAGCGCAGGCGGUUGCUUAGGUCUGAUGUGAAAGCCUUCGGCUUAACCGAAGAAGUGCAUCGGAAACCGGGCGACUUGAGUGCAGAAGAGGACAGUGGAACUCCAUGUGUAGCGGUGGAAUGCGUAGAUAUAUGGAAGAACACCAGUGGCGAAGGCGGCUGUCUGGUCUGCAACUGACGCUGAGGCUCGAAAGCAUGGGUAGCGAACAGGAUUAGAUACCCUGGUAGUCCAUGCCGUAAACGAUGAGUGCUAGGUGUUGGAGGGUUUCCGCCCUUCAGUGCCGGAGCUAACGCAUUAAGCACUCCGCCUGGGGAGUACGACCGCAAGGUUGAAACUCAA
rnacentral:rRNA from 1 species